rnacentral:misc_RNA from 1 species
GAUGAAGAACGUAGCGAAAUGCGAUAAGUAGUGUGAAUUGCAGAAUUCAGUGAAUCAUCGAAUCUUUGAACGCACAUUGCGCCACUUGGUAGUCCAUGGGGCAUGCCUGUUCGAGCGUCAUUUGUACCUUCAAGCUUUGCUUGGUGUUGGGUGUUUGUCUCGCCUUUGCGUGUAGACUCGCCUUAAAAUAAUUGGCAGCCGGCGUAUUGAUUUCGGAGCGCAGUACAUCUCGCGCUUUGCACUCAUAACGACAGCGUCCAAAAGUACAUUUUACACUCUUGACCUCGGAUCAGGUAGGGAUACCCGCUGAACUUAAGCAUAUCAAUAAGCGGAGGA